CAAGAACGCUGCCUCCACUAUUGGUGUCUACGCGGCUACAUAAAACGAGAAAGCUAGACGAGGCGCAAGGCAGAAACUCGAGUUUCAACGUCAAUCAUAGCUUCAAUCAUAGCGAGGAGAGAGAGAGAAACUGCAUUCUACAGAAAUGACGGCGUGUACGAAGUUUGGAACUGCGUUUCUGGUGGCGACACUUGUACUUGUCGCAGUGACCACGGCUGCGACGUCAGACGACAACGAGAUUGGAGUGAGAGUGAAGCGGUGUAAACCCGGUAUGUCGCCCUCUAUAAUAGAUCGUGCGUGCGAUACUGCGUUCAGCCUCCAGCACCGUAUUUCAUGCCAAUGCGGCUGUGGAGGUAUAACCCGCAGGAGAAGGAAGCGACAUCUAUUGAACGCAGUUAAAUGCUCGUCAUUAUGUUAUUUUACUUGUCGCAAGUGUAGCCACUGUCUCACAUAGUGAUCAAGAUGCGCAGCUGACUACGACGACGACAAUGAGAUUGGAGUGAAAGUGAAGCGGUGUAAACCAGUAGAGCCCGAUAUGUCGACCUGUAUACUAGAGUCUCGUGCGUGCCAUACCGCAUUCAGCCUCCAGCACCGUAUUUCACGCCAAUCAUGUGAAGUAACCCGCGAACGUAGGAGAAGGAAGCGACAUCUAUUGAACGCAGUUAAAUGCUCGUCCUCAUGUUACGUCAUUUGUCGCAAGUGUACUCCCUAGCCACUGUCACCCAAAGUGAUCAAGAUGGUGACUACGGCGACGACGACGAUGAUGAUGGUGAUGUGGGUGACAAUAAUGAUGAUGGUAAUGAAGAUGGUGACGACGGUGA